rnacentral:misc_RNA from 1 species
CCCACUUACGUCAUUGCGAGGAGCGCAGCGACGAAUCAAUCCAGCUUUUGUUCUUGGGAUUUGUUCCUGGGAAGAGUGGAUUGCUUCGCUACGCUCGCAAUGACGAGGUAGCAAUCAACGUGCGGACUUCACCCGCUUCAAUCCAAUAAUCUCGGGCAGACUGCCCGUCGGAUUCGGAUCGGCCUUGAUUUCCGGCGGCAGCUUGGCACGGGCCAUGGCGUCGGGAAAACGGGCCUUCAUCUCGCGCAGGAAGCCAUCGAGCGUGUCGAUGGUCGCCGCCAUUUUUGCGA